AACGAACGCUGGCGGCAUGCCUAAUACAUGCAAGUCGAACGAGAUCUUCGGAUCUAGUGGCGCACGGGUGCGUAACGCGUGGGAAUCUGCCCUUGGGUUCGGAAUAACAGCGGGAAACUGCUGCUAAUACCGGAUGAUGACGUAAGUCCAAAGAUUUAUCGCCCAAGGAUGAGCCCGCGUAGGAUUAGCUAGUUGGUGGGGUAAAGGCCCACCAAGGCGACGAUCCUUAGCUGGUCUGAGAGGAUGAUCAGCCACACUGGGACUGAGACACGGCCCAGACUCCUACGGGAGGCAGCAGUAGGGAAUAUUGGACAAUGGGGGCAACCCUGAUCCAGCAAUGCCGCGUGAGUGAUGAAGGCCUUAGGGUUGUAAAGCUCUUUUACCAGAGAGGAUAAUGACAGUAGCUGGGGAAUAAGCCCCGGCUAACUCCGUG
rnacentral:rRNA from 1 species